GGAUGUGAGGGCGAUCUGGCUGUGACAUCUGUCACCCCAUUGAUCGCCAGGGUUGAUUCGGCUGAUCUGGCUGGCUAGGCGGGUGUCCCCGUCCUCCCUCACCGAUCCAUGUGCGUCCCUCCAGAAGCUGCGUGCUCCAUCGAAGAGAACGACCUUCCGCCCUGAGGAGAGGACCGGUCUUCGGUCAAGGGUAUACGAGUAGCUGCGCUCCCCUGCUAGAACCUCCAAACAAGCUCUCAAGAGUAAAGUGGUUGGAACUGCUAAAGCAAGUUCAGGAAAAAACAAGUGUGAGGAAUAACAACCUU
rnacentral:snRNA from 1 species